GAGCACAUAUAUUUGUGAGAAGACCUUCUCCACCAUGGCCAUCAACAAAUCCAAGCUGAGAUCCAGGCUUACAGAUGGCCAUCUACACGAUGUCCUUCGUAUUGCAACAACGGAGAUGGAGCCGGACAUCAGAGGAAUCGUGGCCAACCGAAAACAGCACCACAAAUCCCACGCCAAUAAAAAAAGGUUUUCCGGUGGUGAAUUGGUAGCUGGAAUUGCUCCUGAAUAAGGAGCUCCAUUCUGACAAGAAAGGAAGGCACAAUGAGACUGACAGUUCUAAAUAAGUUUCUGAAAUGCACACAGGACUGUUAUAUCCCAAAUUCGAAGAGAACCCCAGGGAUUGUGUGUUAGUUACAAUGUUUCUUAAGGUUUUCUGAAGUUGUGCCAUGUUUUGCCUAAUUUGUCAUUUAAAAUGUGUUUAGACUGGAUGCAGACCAAUACAUAAUUGUAUAAUUAUUUGUAAUUGUAGAUUUGUAGAGAGAGCAACCUGGUCAUUAAAAUUAUAACAAAUUGAA